GUGUCAGCAGCCGCGGUAAGACGAACCGUGCGAACGUUGUUCGGAAUCACUGGGCUUAAAGGGCGCGUAGGCGGGCCAGUCCGUCUGGGGUGAAAGCCCCCGGCUCAACCGGGGAAUUGCCUGGGAUACCACUGGCCUGGAGGCAGGUAGGGGCGGCCGGAACUUCCGGUGGAGCGGUGAAAUGUGUUGAUAUCGGAAGGAACUCCGGUGGCGAAAGCGGGCCGCUGGACCUCGCCUGACGCUGAGGCGCGAAAGCCAGGGGAGCGAACGGGAUUAGAUACCCCGGUAGUCCUGGCCCUAAACGAUGGGGACUAGGUUGUGGGCUGACCUGGGCUCACAGCCGGAGCCAAAGUGCUAAGUCCCCCGCCUGGGGAGUAUGGUCGCAAGGCUGAA
rnacentral:rRNA from 1 species